rnacentral:rRNA from 1 species
GCGAUUGGGCGUUUGAUCAUGGCUCAGGACGAACGCUGGCGGCGUGCUUAACACAUGCAAGUGGAGCGACGAACCGGGCUUCGGCCCGGGGUAAAGCCGCGAACGGGUGAGUAACACGUGGGUAACCUGCCCCGAUGACCGGGACAACCCGAGGAAACUCGGGCUAAUACCGGAUGUGCUCCUUUCACAUCAGUGAAUUGAGUAAAGGUAGCUUCAGCCUCCGCAUCGGGAUGGGCCCGCGGCCCAUUAGCUUGUUGGUGAGGUAACGGCUCACCAAGGCCGCGAUGGGUAGCUGGUCUGAGAGGACGAUCAGCCACACUGGGACUGAGACACGGCCCAGACUCCUACGGGAGGCAGCAGUGGGGAAUCUUGCGCAAUGCGCGAAAGCGUGACGCAGCAACGCCGCGUGGGUGAAGAAGGCCUUCGGGUUGUAAAGCCCUUUCAGGAGGGACGAAGCUCCUCGGGUUAAUAGCCCAGAGGGUGACGGUACCUCCAGAAGAAGCCCCGGCUAACUACGUGCCAGCAGCCGCGGUAAUA